rnacentral:lncRNA from 1 species
AUCGACGUUGUUGCACGGAAAGUACGAGCUGGGGAGGGUGUUGGGGCAUGGAACGUUCGCGAAGGUGUACCACGCGCGGAACCUGAAGACGGGGCAGCACGUGGCGAUGAAGGUGGUGGGGAAGGAGAAGGUGAUAAAAGUGGGGAUGAUGGAGCAGGUAAAGAGGGAGAUCUCGGUUAUGAAGAUGGUGAAGCACUCAAACAUCGUGGAACUCCACGAAGUCAUGGCCAGCAAGUCCAAGAUCUACAUCGCCAUGGAGCUCGUGCGCGGCGGAGAGCUCUUCAACAAGGUCUCCAAAGGUCGGUUGAAGGAGGACGUCGCCAGACUCUACUUCCAGCAGCUGAUUUCCGCCGUCGACUUCUGCCACAGCCGCGGCGUCUACCACCGCGACCUCAAGCCGGAGAACCUCCUCCUCGACGAACACGGCAAGCUCAAGGUCUCCGACUUCGGACUCACCGCCUUCGCCGACCACCUCAAAGAGGAUGGGCUGCUGCACACCACGUGCGGCACGCCCGCGUACGUGUCGCCGGAGGUCAUAGCGAAAAAAGGGUAUGACGGUGCCAAGGCUGAUAU